GUGCAGGACGCGGGUAGGAUCGAAACCUCAUGCUGGAAAGGCCACCAGUAGCCUGGGUCCCCGUACCUCUGCAGGCGCAGCCGCUCUUUUCACCUGGUGCGCCAGCUUGCAAGUCGUGCAUUUACCUCUUUUGGCUGCACAGAGGGCAGGGAAGCCUCGCGGGUAUGCAAGAUCGGGAAUGGCUGGGGGUGCGACCAAGGGGACUUGGAGAACCGCCCCGCCUCCCCAGGUUCCCCUGGUAGAGCGCACCACCCCCCACCCCCGCGAGUUUUCAGAGGCCCAGGCCCUGUGGAGCUGGGUCUCUGCGGAAGGGGUGGGGACCGGGCAGAGGCAGGAGGACGGAAAGAGCUGGGCAGGGAAGGGGGCCAAGAGAGCCCUUUCUCAACAUCCAGGGAAAAGAACUGAAGAACAGUUUGUUGACUGAGGAGCUGAAGUAUUAAGUACAGAGACACAUAUAUAUUUAAAGACCCUGUGGAAAAAAGUUAAUGAACAAAAAAGAAUUGGAAGAAGGUGAGAGAUUACCCGAAACAUCCAAAGGAUAAAAUGACUACUGGGCAUUUGGCUAAGUAGGUAAAAUUAAGUGGAAACAGGAGGAACUGUACAGAGCAUAAAACUUGUAUGAUUAAAAAGUUUAGGGCCGGGCACGAUGGCUCAAAUCUAUAAUCCCAGUCCUUUGAAUAUUAAUCUGACUGGGCCAGUGCACCUAAAUAAUUAAUAAAUAUCCUCCUGAACCCCAUCAAUCUCUCUGAUUCCUUAAAAAUCCCACUACAAGUAACUAUUGUGUUAGGCACACAAGUCCUAAACAACUCUUGAACACAAAACUUUUAAACCAGGUAAAUUUUAUCCUUUAUAAAAUUGGAAUAAUUUAUCAGAGGGUGGAGGGUGAGAGGAGGAAGAGGAUCAGGAAAAAUAACUAAUGGGUACUAGGCUUAAUACCUGGGUGAUGACAUAAUCUGUACAACAAACCCCUGUGACACAAUUUACCUAUAUAACAAACCUACACAUGUACCCCUGAACUUAAAAGUUAAAUUUUAAAAAAGUAAGUUUUUUUGUUUUGUUCUGUUUUGUUUUGUUUUGUUUUGUUUUUUUGAGAUGGAGUCUCGCUCUGUCACCCAGGCUGGAGUGCAGUGGCGCAAUCUCGGCUCAC
rnacentral:lncRNA from 10 species